UAACGCGAAGAACCUUACCUGGGUUUGACAUAUGCCGGAAAGCUGCAGAGAUGCAGUCCCCGCAAGGUCGGUAUACAGGUGGUGCAUGGCUGUCGUCAGCUCGUGUCGUGAGAUGUUGGGUUAAGUCCCGCAACGAGCGCAACCCUCGUUCCAUGUUGCCAGCGCGUAAUGGCGGGGACUCAUGGGAGACUGCCGGGGUCAACUCGGAGGAAGGUGGGGAUGACGUCAAAUCAUCAUGCCCCUUAUGUCUUGGGCUUCACGCAUGCUACAAUGGCCGGUACAAAGGGCGGCGAUACCGUAAGGUGGAGCGAAUCCCAAAAAACCGGUCUCAGUUCGGAUUGGGGUCUGCAACUCGACCCCAUGAAGUCGGAGUCGCUAGUAAUCGCAGAUCAGCAACGCUGCGGUGAAUACGUUCCCGGGUCUUGUACACACCGA
rnacentral:rRNA from 1 species